rnacentral:lncRNA from 1 species
CGCUCAACCUCAGCAAGCACAUGAUGUUUUACGAAGCGCCUUGCCACCGUAUUUCCGUUGUAAUGUUGGAAUUUUAGUAACUCUGUUGUAAUGGUAUGAUCGUGCACCUGUAUUUCGUCAUGACUGUUAGAAUAAAUCCGAGGUACGUGAACGAUCCAUCGAGGAGCAAGUAAUCACAGACAAUGAUGACACCGAGAUUUGUUAACGAAGUUCGGCGAACUCGCCUACUCCCCGAGGCAAUGACUACGGGUGCUCCUUUCCGAGAUACCGCAAGGUGCUCCUUUCCGAGAUACCGCAACACCGACCACCCGGGCGCCGGCACAAGCCGUCAGCACCCGCUGGCGAGCCUGUCGUUAUUUAGUCGUCAUGUGUUACAACGUGGGGUGUCUCCUCAUAUAUAAGAGGCCAAGGGUACAACGUGUCCGACUCCGACACUACACGUAUCCUACCCACACUACAACACCAAGUCCAAGCGUAACCCAACUAGUACAAAAUAUUCGACACAAACACAACAAACUCCACCUUGACAAAUAUUCUUCACCACCUUGAAUUUGUCCAUGCGUCAAACUUUCAUGUACUCCGGACUUGUGCUGUCUUCUUCGUAGCUUACCGAGAGCUACUCGACGAGUCUGCCCCAGACCCGCCGCCACCGUGAGACCCCGCUGCUACUCCCGCAACUCCAGUCUCCGUGACUCCACCUGCAAUAGUGCUUCCUUGUAACUUGUAAAGAUGCGAAGCCGUCUUCUCUCCAAUCAUCACGGUCACCUCAUCUUCUAUGAUUCUCAUGGUCUUCUUAUCCCGAUCACAACGGAAUACCAUACCAUCAUUAUGAAGAACACCAAGCGAAAUUAGAUUCCUCCUUAGCCCUGGCACAUGCCUGACUCCCCGAAGCAUCCGCUCAACUCCGUCAAACAUCUUGAUUUUGAUGUCACCUACUCCAGCAACACGAUAACCUGUGUCAUCGCCCACAUAGGCUAAACCAAACUCACCAGACUUGUACGAAGAGAACCACUCUUGUUGGUUGUCGCAUGAAAAGAGCAAGCUGAAUCCAACAUCCACGCUUCACCUUUGUUUGACCGCCUGUCUGAUACUAUGAGAACAUCACUACUGCUGUCUGAGUCAUCACCAUGAGCUGCCUUAUUAGCACUUGCCCCACCAUUGAGUUCUGGACAGUCCUUUCUCAUAUGUCCCCACUGCUUACACUUGUGACACUGUAUAUUCUUUUUUUUUCUUGUUCUUCCCAGCCUCAUAUCCCUUCCGCCACUGCUCACCCUUGACUAGCAAACCUUCAUCAUGAGAGACUUCCACCGCGUUCUUCUUUCUCAUAUCAUAAGAUAGCAAUGCGCAGUAAUAUCCUCAUUCUUGACGGUCUCCUUGCCGUGCGUCAAAGUAGUGAUCAAAUGGUCAUAGGAUGAUGGCAAUGAACAAAGAAGCAGAAUUGCCCUAUCCUCGUCAUCAACCGUCGCACCCAAGCGUGCUAGAUCCGUCACGACUUGAUUAAAGGCGUUCAUAUACUCCACAAGAUCUGACCCCUCCUGCAUCCUCAUCCCAUACAACUUUUGCUUCAGAUACACCUUGGUCGUCGCAGUCUUGGACAUAAACUGACUUUCCAGCUUCUCCCAGAUCUUCUUCGGCGAAUUCUCAUCCAUCACAUGAUAAAUAAUCUGGUCCGACAGACACAACCGUAUAGUCCCGGCUGCUUUCAACUGUAACUCCUCCCAGUCAUCCGCCUCCAUCUUAGCUGGCUUGGCUUCCUUCAACAACGCCUUCAAGCAUCAUCCUUGUUGUGCCAACAAAUCUUUUACUCUUGUUUGCCAUAACCCAAAGCUUCCAGUUCCGUUGAACUUCUUCACCUCAAACCUGGUACCCGAUAACGCCAUGAUUCUUUGUACGGCCGACUCCGUGAAAAAUAACCGAGCAGUCUUCCCGUGAUCCGCAAGUACACGAACCAAACCUCCGCGUACUGCUACUAGCGGUCAACGAACUAGUUGAUCUUCACGUCAAAGUGCUCCCUUGGCUCAACUACGAUACUAGCGCUAUUUGCUUUCCUGCCAAAGCCUGUCCUCUCGAUGGAUGCGAAGCCCCUGAUGGAUUUUUUCUGGCCGAUCUCGAUCUGAUCUAUUGCCUCGUCUUGUCCCUAGCCGGCUGCCUUAUUUUAUACUGCGCGUGCAAGGCUCCAGCAGUCCGGCUCGGCUACGAGUUCUAUCGGGACUCGGUCCCUUUUGUUUCCAAAACAAAUCCCACGUCCGCUGCUUCCGAUUGCAAGAGAUAAUAUCGUCAAAAUCUGAACCUACCAAUCGAGUCACGCUCAGCUGCCCCUGCACGCGACCUGCCGCUCGGGCUGCCUGCCCGUGUCCCUGAUGGACUGCAUCAUGGACUGCAUCUGGGCCCAGCUGCUAGCUCCGCAGGCCACGUCUCGAUCUCGUCGAUUCCGAGUAGGCACCGUGACGCCACGCAAAUUUUCCGACCUCACCGACGCCUGAUUUCUCCACCUCUAGAUCAAGCGAAUAACCAUCUCGAAACCUAGCUCUGAUACCACUUGUUAGAAUAAAUUCGAGGUACGCGAACGAUCCAUCGAGAAACAAGCAAUCACAGACAAUGACAACACCGAGAUUUGUUAACGAGGUUCGGCGAACUCGCCUACUCCCCGGGGCAAUGACUACGGGCGCUCCUCCCCGAGAUACCGCAACACCGGCCACCCGGGCGCCGACACAAGCCGCCAGCACCCCCUUGCGAGCCUGUCGCUAUCUAGUCGUCAUGGGUUACAUCGUGGGGUGCCUCCUCAUAUAUAAGAGGCCAAGGGUACAAUGUGUCCGACUCCGACACUACACGUAUCCUACCCACACUACAACACCAAGUCCAAGCGUAACCCAACUAGUACAAAAUAUUCGACACAAACACAACAAUGACUCUGGACUUGAAUACCAUAUGCAUGCUAUAUGCUGUACUUGAUGCUUCUGUGUUUUCAGUCUGGUUGGCAGUUUAUAUCAUGGAUUUGGCUAACGGAUAGUUUUGUAUGUUCUGAUGCGGCAUAGUUGCAUAAAGAGAAAAAAAACAGGUAGUGGGUUGCAC